ACGAACCAUGCAAACGUUAUUCGGAUUCACUGGGCUUAAAGCGUGCGUAGGCGGCGAUGUUAGUCAGGUGUGAAAGCCCUCAGCCCAACUGAGGAAUUGCGCUUGAUACUGCAUCGCUAGAGAAUGAUAGAGGUGGGUGGAACUGAUGGUGGAGCGGUGAAAUGCGUUGAUAUCAUCAGGAACACCAGUGGCGAAGGCGACCCACUGGGUCAUUUCUGACGCUGAGGUACGAAAGCUAGGGUAGCGAACGGGAUUAGAUACCCCGGUAGUCCUAGCCGUAAACGAUGAGCACUAGGUCGAGGGCCUCCACAGGCUCUUGGCCGUAGCGAAAGUGUUAAGUGCUCCGCCUGGGGAGUAUGGUCGCAAGGCUG
rnacentral:rRNA from 1 species